UAUAUAUAUAUAACUAUUAACCUAUUUAUUCGUUGCAUUUCAUGCAUCCUCUGUUCCAAUUAUACAUAUUCCAGUUAUACAUAUAUGGGUUCAAAAAGAAAAAGAAAACAUCGAUAUCAAACAUCUACAUAUAUAGUACAAACUAUUAUCAACUAUAAUAUAUGCCUAUUUAUAUAACUUCUCGGAAUAUGAAAUAAUUCUCCAUCUAAGCUUAAUAACAUAAAAUCCUAUAGGAACAUGCCGACCACAAUGGCAAAAGUUUCACCAACUCGAUGAAUACGGGAUUUUCUGUUGGAUGCUGACAAGAACGAGUGCUAACCUGCGCACAGAAGACAAACCGAACGCUGAGUAAUCAACUCGGUAGCAUUUCUAUAACUAAUGUUAUAAUAUAAAAUAAAUUAAAAAUCAAUGGUUCAUAAGCAGUUAAUAUGUUAAAUGAUAUCAUAAUAAUAUAACCCUUUCAUAUCUCAUUUGUAGUCGUACCGACUGGUUGUCAGCUUCAAAUUCUUGACCUGUAAACUCAAAAAUUCAAUUAAACCUUGAAUCAUCGCUUACAUUUACAUAAUCACAAGCUUACUAAUUGCAUAUUCAACUCAACUUCUUUUGCAUUUAAUUCUUCCUAACAUUAUUCAUAAUUAUUCUACCAAGCAUUCAACCCGUAAUAGUAAACCAAAUUCGAUCAACAUAAAAAAGAACACACAUUCUAACUGAUGAGACAACAACCAAGCAUAUAAUUCGAUUAAUCAAUUUAGCACAUUAAUUCGAUAGUUUCCUAACUACGCACUUCCAAGCAAAAAUUUAAUAUGUAUUCUUAGACAAUAGCAAAUUUAAUAUUAAGCUUCAAACAAUAAUUAGACAUGCAAUUUCGAACAAUAUUUUAAUACAUUUAUUCAGACCACCCCAUUAUGCACAAAAUGGACUACCCUUUUUAUACACAUUGAACAACAUUAUUAUGUUCAAACAUUAACACUACAUAUAACAUCAAAUUGGUCGACUUAGUUAACUCAAUAUAUUAGUAUAAAUAACAACAAAUUGGACAGUGAAGAUAACACAUUCGAAUAGAUAAAUUUCAAGCUCACUAACGGUUAAUUCAGGUAGGAAAUUAUAUGCUAAAAUUUCCAUCAUUGGACCGCGAGUAAUGACGACCAAUAUGUUCCUUCAUUUAACACAAAUCGUAACAGUUAAAACAAAAGAAUAAAUAUACUGAAUUUCCAGCAUUACAAAGGUUCAGUUUUAUAUAGCUUUAACUUAUGCUUUGGACAUCAACAAAUCUUCAACAUUAAAUCAGCUUAAUAACAUCACAUUCAGACUGUUUUAUUACACCCAUCCGAACAGCUUAAUUAACACCAAUUUACAGCCCCUUGAACAAUGAAUUUAACUCAUUCGAUCAGCAACAAAAACUACUGUUUUCUUUUAUUUCAAACAUGCGGCCGACCAAUUCCUCCACAUAUUACAACAUAUUCAAAUCAGCAUUUACAUGCUGAAACAAUGGGUUUUCAAGCUGCAGUUUCCAGCAGUCAUUUAAGCAUUUACUUGUCCAAUUUUUACUUCACUACUAACAACCGAAACUUAGUAAGAAUAACAUAAUAUUUUAACUACUACACUCAACCCCUAUAACCGUAACUUACCAGCAUGCAAACAUCAGAAUUUAAACACGAGAAUUUACAAAGUUUCCUUUGAAAAACUCACUCACAAACACAUUGAAUUUGUCCUAUUUUGGACAGCACAAGACAGCAAAAAUCCAUGCUUUUUAAUCCUGUAAUAACUCAAUUAAUUGGUCCUAAAACUGGACAGCAUAAUGCAACGAAUCGGACUGUCUUUACAGCCCCCAAUCGGCAUGAAAAUAGAACCAUUAAUUUAUUCAAAUUUCGGACAGCAUUAAUUUUUACACUAUUUCUGAGCAGCAUUUAAACUUACAAUAAACGAAUCUAACCAAUACUAGACAGUAAACAUUUUCAACCAUUAAAUCAAAACCAAAACAUCAAUACUAAUUUAAUAGAACUUUUUUUUUUUGCACAAAAAUAACAAUACGAGUUUAAAGAAACUCACAAGAAAAUUCCCCAAGAUAAAAUCUAUCUACACAAUUCUGGCAUUCCCUUGGCUGCUUAGACCUUCUACCUCCUUGUUAGGCAUCCACAAGAAAAAUAACCAAAUUCUACUAACAUCAAAGAAAAAUUUUACAAGUAAUCAAAGAGCUUUUCUUCUCUACAACCCACAGUUACGCCUACCACCCAUAAUCCAUCAUCAUUUUUCCUUACAACAAAGUUAAAGAUAAAGGAGAGCUUACAAAAAUUACCGAG
rnacentral:lncRNA from 1 species